rnacentral:rRNA from 1 species
GGCUUGUUGAUUAUAAUUUCAGGUCUAGCCUGCCCAAUGAGUAUUAAAUGGCCGCGGUAUAUUGACCGUGCAAAGGUAGCAUAAUCAUUAGUUUUUUAAUUGAAAGCUGGAAUGAAAGGUUGGAUGAGAAGAUUUCUGUCUCUAUUAAAAUUUAUUAGAAUUUUAUUUUUAAGUGAAAAAGCUUAAAUUUGUAUAGAAGACGAGAAGACCCUAUAGAGUUUUAUAUUUUCAAUUAAAAUUGGUUUUAAGGUGGAGGAAGGUUAAUUUUUUUGAUAUUAUUUUGUUGGGGUGAUGGAAAAAUUAAAUAAACUUUUUCUAGUAAGAACAUUUAUUUGUGGUUUGUUGAUCCUGUGUUUCAGAUUGAUAGAUUAAAUUACCUUAGGGAUAACAGCGUAAUUUUCUUUAGAGCUCUUAUCAAAAAGAAAGUUUGCGACCUCGAUGUUGGAUUAAAAUUUAUUAUUGGUGUAGAAGCUAAUAGAUUAGGUCUGUUCGACCUUUGAAAUUUUACAUGAUCUGAGUUUAAACCGGCGUGAG